rnacentral:rRNA from 1 species
ACUCCUACGGGAGGCAGCAGUGAGGAAUAUUGGUCAAUGGUCGCAAGACUGAACCAGCCAUGCCGCGUGCAGGAAGACGGUCCUAUGGAUUGUAAACUGCUUUUAUUACAGGAAGAAACCCUCCCCACGUGUGGGAGCUUGACGGUACUGUAGGAAUAAGGAUCGGCUAACUCCGUGCCAGCAGCCGCGGUAAUACGGAGGAUCCAAGCGUUAUCCGGAAUCAUUGGGUUUAAAGGGUCCGUAGGCGGCCUUAUAAGUCAGUGGUGAAAGCCCAUCGCUCAACGAUGGAACUGCCAUUGAUACUGUAAGGCUUGAAUUAUUGUGAAGUAACUAGAAUAUGUAGUGUAGCGGUGAAAUGCUUAGAUAUUACAUGGAAUACCAAUUGCGAAGGCAGGUUACUAACAAUGGAUUGACGCUGAUGGACGAAAGCGUGGGGAGGCGAACAGGAUUAGAU